rnacentral:rRNA from 1 species
AUGGACAAUCCUCCGGCCGGCAACGUGGCCCAUCCUCUGGCAGCGGCGGCGGCGGGCAACAAUGUGGCCAACCCUCCGGCGGCGGCGGCAGCGGCAGCAGCAAACAACGUGGCCAAUCCUCCUCCGGCGGCGGCAGCAGCAAACAACGUGCUCGAUCAUCUGGCGGCGAUGGAGGCAGCAGCAGCAAACAACGUGGCCAAUUUUCAGGCGCAGCAAGCAGCAGCGGCUGCAGCGGCGGCGGCGGCGGCGGAUGCUGCUGCAGUGGCUGCCGCUGCAGCGCUGGAGCGGCGCCGCAAGGAAGACAAGGAUUGUGCGUGCUUGUGCUGUGUGUAUAUCUUGGGCGUGCUGCUCUUCUUUGCUGUGAUGAUUCUGCUGACGUCCAAGCCAUGGAAUCGAGGCUAG